UAGGGAAUCUUCGGCAAUGGGGGGAACCCUGACCGAGCAACGCCGCGUGAGUGAAGAAGGUUUUCGGAUCGUAAAGCUCUGUUGUUAAGGAAGAACGAGUGUGAGAAUGGAAAGUUCAUGCUGUGACGGUACUUAACCAGAAAGGGACGGCUAACUACGUGCCAGCAGCCGCGGUAAUACGUAGGUCCCGAGCGUUGUCCGGAUUUAUUGGGCGUAAAGCGAGCGCAGGCGGUUAGAAAAGUCUGAAGUGAAAGGCAGUGGCUCAACCAUUGUAGGCUUUGGAAACUGUUUAACUUGAGUGCAGAAGGGGAGAGUGGAAUUCCAUGUGUAGCGGUGAAAUGCGUAGAUAUAUGGAGAAACACCGGUGGCGAGAGCGGCUCUCUGGUCUGUAACUGACGCUGAGGCUCGAAAGCGUGGGGAGCGAACAGG
rnacentral:rRNA from 1 species